CACGAACGCUGGCGGCAGGCUUAACACAUGCAAGUCGAGCGCCCCGCAAGGGGAGCGGCAGACGGGUGAGUAACGCGUGGGAAUCUACCCAUCUCUACGGAAUAACGCAUGGAAACGUGUGCUAAUACCGUAUACGUCCUUCGGGAGAAAGAUUUAUCGGAGAUGGAUGAGCCCGCGUUGGAUUAGCUAGUUGGUGGGGUAAAGGCCUACCAAGGCGACGAUCCAUAGCUGGUCUGAGAGGAUGAUCAGCCACACUGGGACUGAGACACGGCCCAGACUCCUACAGGAGGCAGCAGUGGGGAAUAUUGGACAAUGGGCGCAAGCCUGAUCCAGCCAUGCCGCGUGAGUGAUGAAGGCCCUAGGGUUGUAAAGCUCUCUCACCGGUGAAGAUAAUGACGGUAACCGGAGAAGAAGCCCCGGCUAACUUCGUGCCAGCAGCCGCAGUAAAAC
rnacentral:rRNA from 1 species